rnacentral:rRNA from 1 species
GAUGAACGCUGGCGGCGUGCCUAAUACAUGCCAGUCGAGCGAACAGACGAGGAGCUUGCUCCUCUGACGUUAGCGGCGGACGGGUGAGUAACACGUGGAUAACCUACCUAUAAGACUGGGAUAACUUCGGGAAACCGGAGCUAAUACCGGAUAAUAUAUUGAACCGCAUGGUUCAAUAGUGAAAGACGGUUUUGCUGUCACUUAUAGAUGGAUCCGCGCCGCAUUAGCUAGUUGGUAAGGUAACGGUUUACCAAGGCAACGAUGCGUAGCCGACCUGAGAGGGUGAUCGGCCACACUGGAACUGAGACACGGUCCAGACUCCUACGGGAGGCAGCAGUAGGGAAUCUUCCGCAAUGGGCGAAAGCUUGACGGAGCAACGCCGCGUGAGUGAUGAAGGUCUUCGGAUCGUAAAACUCUGUUAUUAGGGAAGAACAAAUGUGUAAGUAACUAUGCACGUCUUGACGGUACCUAAUCAGAAAGCCACGGCUAACUACGUG